AAAAACCGAGCAAGCAUAGAAAAAUAUAUGUAUAGAAAAUAUAGAAAAGAAACAUCUGUUUUGUAUAUAUGAUGUGAAAGAAAAGAACAAAAAUAAAAGAAUGAAAAUGAAUGCUUGCUUGGAAGAAAAAUAGUGAAAAAUAAAAAUUGAGUUGUGGAAUAUGUGUUGUGAAGGUUUCAAAUAAGAAACAAAUGAAACAAAGUCGAGUAGUGUGAAUAAUACUGUGAAUGUCUCUUUUGCAUCGGCAC
rnacentral:lncRNA from 1 species